AGUUUUGUUUUCUUUGUGCCUAUCACACGCUCGUUCCACUUUAACUCUUCCCUUCACGGCUGGCCAUUAAAAUAAUAUCGGGAUGGUUAUAUUGCUCGAUGCACACGAAAUUUUAUUACUCGAGACGUCUUAUUUCCUCCCCAACUUUCUUCAGAUUCACUCCACUCACAUUGUCGUUUGGAUUCGUGAUUGUGUCGGCGCACUUAAUACUUUACCGGAUCGACUACACGAACGAUAUUUUCUGAGAAAAAUUCACUUUAUUCGCGACUCUGCAACAUUCCAAGACGUCAUGUCGCCAUGUUUACUUCUAACUUUCGCAAAUGUCAAAAUUACACAACAAACUGUUAUAAUGCUGGUGUUGAAUGAAUUUUAAGAAGUGUUAUACGUAGGCACUUCAAAGGGAAGCGUUCUGAAUAGUCCAACAUAAUUUAUAAUAAUUUUCUAAUCCAAUUAGUACUUAUUCGUAUGCCAUUAAAAUAUGAAAAAAGAGAA